UGAUAUACGCUCUGUUUCUCUCUCAAAUUUCGCUGAGCAUCUCUGAAUAACUCUGAUCACUUUAUAUAUUAACAGAAAACUAAAAUUAUAGAAUACUCUGUGAUCUCUCUCUGUCUUUAGCAUUUUCUAUAUUUCUUUGUAGAGGUAGAGCGGUGACCAAGUGAGUGCUUGGAGUCACAUAUAAAAGCAACAAAUCAAGAAACAGAGUAACGCACGCUCUAUAGAACUUGGCGUCUCUCUCGGUUUUUGCUCGGCAAUGUAGCUCUCUGACAAAAUUUGGUUGCAAAAUGGCUCGGAAUAACAUUGGAUCCCUAAUCCUUGAGCACUCUCCCUCCACCAAUGCCUCAGCUGGUAGUCAUUUCCGACUAUGGACUGCCUUCUCUGGUGCUGCAUUCCGCCGUAAAAUCUUUGACGCUGUUAGCUGUGGUGGAAGCUCCCGUUAUCGCCAUCAUGAGGACAACUUUUCCUCCACUACAACAUCAAGCGCCUCCACGAUAACCACAACUACAUCCACCGCCACCACUACAUGUGAGACGACGAAGCUGGCUUUGAAUAAUAACCACAAUGUGAGUGAGAAAAAGGCAGGAAAACCGAGAAACGGAAAGUCGGAGAAGUUAUCGGAUCUGUUGAGUAUUGCAGAGGCGGAGACUGAAAUAGAGACGAGGAAAAAAGUCGAGGCGUUUGAGGAGCUGAAACGAGCGGUGAAGGAAUUGCAGCUCGAGAGCGAAACGAAGAGGAAAGAAGCUGCUUCUCGUGUAAGAUUGCUGGCCAAGGAAGAUUCCGGAGCGAGAGUCACUCUUUCUAUGUUAGGAGCCAUCCCUCCAUUAGUUGGAAUGCUUGAUGAGGAAGACAUUGAAUCGCAGAUCGCUUCUCUCUAUGCCUUGCUUAAUCUAGGGAUCGGCAAUGAUGCGAACAAAGCUGCGAUUGUUAAAGCAGGGGCUGUUCACAAAAUGUUGAAGAUCAUAGAAUCCCCAAAUCCUCCAAACACAUCUGUGUCCGAAGCAAUAGUGGCCAAUUUUCUUGGUUUGAGCGCAUUAGACUCGAAUAAACCCAUUAUAGGUUCUUCAGGUGCAAUCCCCUUCUUGGUAAAUGCCCUCAAGAAUUCGGACCAUAAAAGUAGCACUCAAGCAAAACAAGAUGCUCUUAGAGCUCUUUACAAUCUUUCAAUACACUCAUCUAAUGUUUCAUUUAUUGUAGAAACAAAUUUGAUUCCAUUUCUCAUGAGUACACUAGGGGACAUGGAAAUAAGUGAAAGAAUUCUUUCGAUUUUGAGCAAUGUAGUGUCAACCCCUGAAGGUAGAAAGGGCAUUAGCAUUGUGCCAGAUUCUUUCCCAAUUUUGAUAGAUAUUUUGAAUUGGACCGACUCACCCGGAUGCCAAGAGAAAGCAUCUUACAUAUUGAUGGUGAUGGCACAUAAGGCAUAUGGGGAUCGGCAGGCCAUGAUCGAAGCAGGAAUUGUAUCAUCAUUGCUUGAGUUAACGCUUUUGGGUAGCACAUUAGCACAGAAAAGAGCUUCAAGGAUUCUGGAAUUUUUAAGAGUAGAUAAGGGAAAGCAAGUCUCAGAGAACUAUGGUGGGAAUUUGGGCGCAACAGUUUCUGCUCCUAUUUAUGGUUCAUCAUCUUCUGCAAAUCCUAAUGGGAUUGCAAAGGAGUCUUUGGAGGAGACAGAAGAUAUGAUGAGUGAGGAAAAGAAAGCAGUGAAACAAUUAGUACAACAGAGUUUGCAGAGCAAUAUGAGGAGAAUUGUCAAGAGGGCCAAUUUACCACAAGACUUUGUUCCGUCAGAGCAUUUUAAGUCCCUCACAUCAAGCUCAACCUCCAAGAGUUUACCAUUUUGAGGAGAUUGGAUGUAGCCAGACAGGCGUGGAGAUAAAAGGGAUUGCAUCUUGAAGUGAAGGAAGAGGAAAGAAGAAUCUAGGCUGAGUUGUCUUGCUUAUAAAAAUGUUAUAUGGGAAGAUUAGAAGGUAAAUUUUAAACAUAUUUGAUGGGAACUCCACUGCUGUAGAGAAGGUCAUAAAAAGUAGGUGCUGCAGCUAAAUUAUUUUGAGCACUGCGAUACCUUUAAUGUUAAAUUGUAGCAGUUUUAUAUUUUCGAUUCUGGUAAAACUGUCUUAUCCCUUGCUGGUUGAAGUUUAAGGCUAUAAGCCCCAUAGGUUGUUACUAGGUUAUGACUUGUUAUACAGCUGUUUUAGCUCUUCAUCUAACAGGGUUAAUAGCAAGUGAUGCUUUUCAUUGAAUACUAGCGCAAGCUGCUGGAGCGGGUGACGGAAGAUACAUAGAUGAUUAUUGGGAGUUAUGGUGGCAGGUUUGCAGAUCGAUGAAGAUAAGAAAAUUGUCGCCUAUCUGCUCUUUUAUUUUGUUGAAAAUUGAAACUUUUGAAGGCCACUUUUUCAUCUUUGAUUCUGCACACAGGAGAAAAAAGAGAAGGAAGUAAUAAUUGAUUGUACUAGGAUAGUAACGAGGGGUUGCCCGGUGGGUCUAGUUGUUGUCUUCACUUUCCAGUGGCCAGUAUUGGGUAAAAAUGACGACUUUGCCCAGCUCGUGAAUAAAAAUCGAAAAAGAAAGGAAAAGGUUAAAUA